rnacentral:rRNA from 1 species
GACAGAGGGUGCAAACGUUGCUCGGAAUCACUGGGCGUAAAGGGCGCGUAGGCGGCUUUGUAAGUCGGGGGGUGAAAGCCUGUGGCUCAACCACAGAAUUGCCUUCGAUACUGCAUGGCUUGAGACCGGAAGAGGUAAGUGGAACUGCGAGUGUAGAGGUGAAAUUCGUAGAUAUUCGCAAGAACACCAGUGGCGAAGGCGGCUUACUGGUCCGGUUCUGACGCUGAGGCGCGAAAGCGUGGGGAGCAAACAGG